CACAUCCAAGGAAGGCAGCAGGCACGCAAAUUACCCAAUCCCAGCUCUGGGAGGUAGUGACGAAAAAUAACAAUGCGGGACUCUUCCGAGUCUGCGUAAUUGGAAUGAGCACACUUUAAAUCCUUUAGCAACAACCAAUUGGAGGGCAAGUCUGGUGCCAGCAGCCGCGGUAAUUCCAGCUCCAAUAGCGUAUAUUAAAGUUGUUGCGGUUAAAAAGCUCGUAGUUCGAUUUGAGUUGCGGACUGGUGUGGGAGGUCACCGCCCGGUGCUUGCCCGCCAGGUUCCGAACAGCUUCCGUGAGUGGAAGCCAAGCCGGUUCUGCCGGGGUGCUCUUUACCGAGUGUCCCGCGCGGCCGGCCAGUUCACCUUGAAUAAAUGAGAGUGCUCAAAGCAGGCUACUCUGGAAUACAAUGCCCGAAUGUUAGCUGCAUGGAAUGAUGGAAGAUGAUCUCGGUUGCAUUUUGUUGGUGGUGGCAGCCAGAGGUAAUGAUAAAGAGGGACUGUCGGGGGCAUCCGUACUACGACGCGAGAGGUGAAAUUCAGUGACCGUCGUAGGACGAACAACAGCGAAAGCAUUUGCCAAGAAUGUCUUCGUUGAUCAAGAACGAAAGUUAGAGGAUCGAAGGCGAUCAGAUACCGCCCUAGUUCUAACCCUAAACGAUGCUGACUAGCAAUUCGCCGUCGUUAUUCCCAUGACGUGGCGAGACGCCCCCGGGAAACCUCAAGUCUUUGAGUUCCGGGGGUAGUAUGGUUGCAAAAGUGAAACUUAAAGGAAUUGACGGAAGGGCACCACCAGGAGUGGAGCCUGCGGCUUAAUUUGACUCAACACGGGGAAGCUCACCAGGCCCGGACACCAGAAGGAUUGACAGAUUAAGAGCUCUUUCUCGAUUUGGUGGGUGGUGGUGCAUGGCCGUUCUUAGUUGGUGGAGUGAUUUGUCUG
rnacentral:rRNA from 1 species